UAUUUUAACGGUGAUAAUAAUUAGAACUGUCUUACAAUCUUCACGUGCUGCGUCAGUUGAUAGUUUACAUUCUAGCUCUGUUAGCUUAGCCCUGUUUUUAGACAGAA